rnacentral:rRNA from 1 species
UACGUAGGGUGCAAGCGUUGUCCGGAAUUAUUGGGCGUAAAGAGCUCGUAGGCGGUCUGUCGCGUCUGCUGUGAAAACUCAGGGCUUAACCCUGAGCUUGCAGUGGGUACGGGCAGACUAGAGUCCGGAAGAGGAGAGUGGAAUUCCUGGUGUAGCGGUGAAAUGCGCAGAUAUCAGGAAGAACACCCGUGGCUAAGGCGGCUCUCUAGUACGGUACUGACGCUGAGACGCGAAAGCGUGGGGAGCGAACAGG